rnacentral:rRNA from 1 species
CCUACGGGGGGCAGCAGUGGGGAAUAUUGGACAAUGGGCGAAAGCCUGAUCCAGCCAUGCCGCGUGUGUGAAGAAGGCCUUCGGGUUGUAAAGCACUUUCAGUGGGGAAGAAAGCCUUGGGGCUAAUACCCUCGAGGAAGGACAUCACCCACAGAAGAAGCACCGGCUAACUCCGGGCCAGCAGCCGCGGUAAUACGGAGGGUGCGAGCGUUAAUCGGAAUUACUGGGCGUAAAGCGCGCGUAGGCGGUCUGAUAAGCCGGUUGUGAAAGCCCCGGGCUCAACCUGGGAACGGCAUCCGGAACUGUCAGGCUAGAGUGCAGGAGAGGAAGGUAGAAUUCCCGGUGUAGCAGUGAAAUGCGUAGAGAUCGGGAGGAAUACCAGUGGCGAAGGCGGCCUUCUGGACUGACACUGACGCUGAGGUGCGAAAGCGUGGGUAGCAAACAGGAUUAGAUACCCGUGUAGUC